rnacentral:rRNA from 1 species
UACGAGAGGCCCAAACGUUAUUCGGAUUUACUGGGCUUAAAGAGUUCGUAGGCGGCUUGGAAAGUGGGGUGUGAAAGCCCUCGGCUUAACCGAGGAAUUGCGCUCCAAACUACCGAGCUUGAGUAGACUAGAGGUGAGCAGAACUGAUGGUGGAGCGGUGAAAUGCGUUGAUAUCAUCAGGAAUACCGGAGGCGAAGGCGGCUCACUGGGACCUAACUGACGCUGAGGAACGAAAGCUAGGGGAGCAAACGGG